rnacentral:rRNA from 1 species
AUUGAACGCUGGCGGCAUGCCUUACACAUGCAAGUCGAACGGCAGCAUGAUCUAGCUUGCUAGAUUGAUGGCGAGUGGCGAACGGGUGAGUAAUACAUCGGAACGUGCCCUGUAGUGGGGGAUAACUAGUCGAAAGAUUAGCUAAUACCGCAUACGACCUGAGGGUGAAAGUGGGGGACCGCAAGGCCUCAUGCUAUAGGAGCGGCCGAUGUCUGAUUAGCUAGUUGGUGAGGUAAAGGCUCACUAAGGCGACGAUCAGUAGCUGGUCUGAGAGGACGAUCAGCCACACUGGGACUGAGACACGGCCCAGACUCCUACGGGAGGCAGCAGUGGGGAAUUUUGGACAAUGGGCGAAAGCCUGAUCCAGCAAUGCCGCGUGUGUGAAGAAGGCCUUCGGGUUGUAAAGCACUUUUGUCCGGAAAGAAAUGGCUCUGGUUAAUACCUGGGGUCGAUGACGGUACCGGAAGAAUAAGGACCGGCUAACUACGUG